rnacentral:tRNA from 1 species
AAGAUGUUAGUAAAAUAUUACCAAGCCUUGUCAUGGCUUAAUUACUAGUUAUAACCUUGUACAUCUUA